rnacentral:rRNA from 1 species
GGGCCUGGCGGCAGGCUACACAUGCAAGUCGAGCGGUAGAGAGAAGCUUGCUUCUCUUGAGAGCGGCGGACGGGUGAGUAAUGCCUAGGAAUCUGCCUGGUAGUGGGGGAUAACGUUCGGAAACGGACGCUAAUACCGCAUACGUCCUACGGGAGAAAGCAGGGGACCUUCGGGCCUUGCGCUAUCAGAUGAGCCUAGGUCGGAUUAGCUAGUUGGUGGGGUAAUGGCUCACCAAGGCGACGAUCCGUAACUGGUCUGAGAGGAUGAUCAGUCACACUGGAACUGAGACACGGUCCAGACUCCUACGGGAGGCAGCAGUGGGGAAUAUUGGACAAUGGGCGAAAGCCUGAUCCAGCCAUGCCGCGUGUGUGAAGAAGGUCUUCGGAUUGUAAAGCACUUUAAGUUGGGAGGAAGGGCAGUUACCUAAUACGUAAUUGUUUUGACGUUACCGACAGAAUAAGCACCGGCUAACUCUGUGCCAGCAGCCGCGGUAAUACAGAGGGUGCAAGCGUUAAUCGGAAUUACUGGGCGUAAAGCGCGCGUAGGUGGUUUGUUAAGUUGGAUGUGAAAUCCCCGGGCUCAACCUGGGAACUGCAUUCAAAACUGACUGACUAGAGUAUGGUAGAGGGUGGUGGAAUUUCCUGUGUAGCGGUGAAAUGCGUAGAUAUAGGAAGGAACACCAGUGGCGAAGGCGACCACCUGGACUAAUACUGACACUGAGGUGCGAAAGCGUGGGGAGCAAACAGGAUUAGAUACCCUGGUAGUCCACGCCGUAAACGAUGUCAACUAGCCGUUGGAAGCCUUGAGCUUUUAGUGGCGCAGCUAACGCAUUAAGUUGACCGCCUGGGGAGUACGGCCGCAAGGUUAAAACUCA